ensembl:lncRNA IER5L-AS1 IER5L antisense RNA 1
UUGCUCAGAAUUUCACAAGACCCAUUCCUCACCCCACAGAGGGACUCGGGAGAGCGGAACGUCGGGCUUCCCGGGUCUGACAACUGAUUGGAAUCGGCUUCCCAGGUCCGGCGCCCUCCUGAGCUGCGCCCCCGGCGCGCCCCGGCGGCCAGGGCGCCCUGCCUCGCCCCCGGCUGCCCGGCACCUCCUCCGGGCAGCAGCCCUCCCUCACGUGGUAGGCUCCUCGCUAAACACCACUGCAAUCACUACAAUAAAAAGAAAAAAAGGAGUAGGAGAAACACAAAGCAUACUUAAAUAGGCGCUUUUUCUCUCUGCAAAAAUAAAGUCCAAGAUUUUAGAUUUCUUUUUUUUUUAUUUUACAAUUUAUAAAACAUCAGCCGCCUGCCCCCGCUCGCCCCCAGCUCAGCCCCGAGUGGCCCGGCGCCCGCUCGUUCCCUCCUCUCGCCCCUUUGCCGAGUCUUUGUCUGGCCCCAGCCCCGCGGGGCCCCGGGUCCCUGUGCCCUCGGGGGUCCCUAGAAGGCGACAAUGGCUCGAGUCCAGGCGCCGAGGCUGGCGAGCGCCUGCUUGGCGCACAGCUGCCCGUUGAGCGGCGGCGGCUGCUCCGAGGAGUCCGGCUGUCGGCUCACCAGCCCCGAGAAGCCGGAGCCAAAGAUGGAGAUCAAGUUUGAGAUGUUGGACGCGUCCGGGGACGAGUCCGGGCAGAAGUCCUCGAAGCGGGCGCGCUUGCAGGGGGCGAACGGGGCGCCCCCGGGGGGCUCGGCCCCCAGCCCGCCCGCAUCCUCCUCGUCGUCUUCCUCCUCCUCCUGGCCAGGGAGCCGGCUCAGGUGUCUCUCCCUCCAGGAAGUGGGGCUUGUGCCCUUUGGAUACCUGCACUCCCCAUCACCGCACUCCCCAUCGUGGCACUUCCCUUGUUGCAGUUUUAUGGAGUGUGCGUCUGGCUCUCCAACUAGACUUGAACCGCUUGAGUGCAUAACUCGGGACUUGACCAUUUGCGUCUCCCUACGGCCAGCUCAGCCUCCGCACACAGGGACCUGCAGAGAGUGGAUGUAGCCACUGCCCCAGCGUCCCUGGGCUCUGAAGAGAAGCCAUUGCCCUUCAAGAGCCACCCUCAUUUCCUGGGCACUGGUUGGAAAAAACGAAGAAAAAGAGACACCCAGCUCACCUCCAAGUUUGCCUGCAGGUAGCUGAUGGUUCCAGAAGAGGGACUCAUGGAGCUGACCCGAAUCUGAUCCGUGGCCUGCAGCGAAAUCGAGCUGACCCACAGAAUGACCCACCCCCGCUGACCCACAGGCCUAUGAGAGAUGGAAAUAAACAUGGCAAGCUA